CAUGCAAGUCGAACGAAGGCCCGGAGCUUGCUCCGGUCACCUUAGUGGCGGACGGGUGAGUAACGCGUGGGAACCUGCCCUUUAGUGGGGAAUAACGUCUGGAAACGGGCGCUAAUACCGCAUACGCCCUUUGGGGGAAAGGCUUCGGCCGCUGUUGGAGGGUCCCGCGUCUGAUUAGCUUGUUGGUGAGGUAACGGCUCACCAAGGCGACGAUCAGUAGCUGGUCUGAGAGGAUGAUCAGCCACACUGGGACUGAGACACGGCCCAGACUCCUACGGGAGGCAGCAGUGGGGAAUAUUGGACAAUGGGGGAAACCCUGAUCCAGCAAUGCCGCGUGAGUGAAGAAGGCCUUAGGGUUGUAAAACUCUUUCACCCGUGAAGAUGAUGACGGUAGCGGGAGAAGAAGCUCCGGCUAACUCCGUGCCAGCAGCCGCGGUAAUACGGAGGGGGCUAGCGUUGCUCGGAAUUACUGGGCAUAAAGCGCGCGUAGGCGGUGGUUCUAGUUAGAUGUGAAAGGCCUGGGCUUAACCUAGGAACUGCAUUUAAUACUGGAUCGCUAGAAUCCGAGAGAGGGUAGUGGAAUUCCCAGUGUAGAGGUGAAAUUCGUAGAUAUUGGGAAGAACACCAGUGGCGAAGGCGGCUACCUGGCUCGGUAUUGACG
rnacentral:rRNA from 1 species